AAAACAUCACCUCUAGCAUACUAAGUAUUAGAGGCAUUGCCUGCCCAGUGACUAAAGUUUAACGGCCGCGGUAUCCUGACCGUGCAAAGGUAGCAUAAUCACUUGUUCCUUAAUUAGGGACUAGCAUGAACGGCUAGACGAGGGUUUGACUGUCUCUUAUUUUUGAUCAGUGAAAUUGACCUUUCAGUGAAGAGGCUGAAAUACUAUAAUAAGACGAGAAGACCCUAUGGAGCUUUAAUUUAUCAGUUUAAUCAUACUAAUAAAAUUACCUAAUGGAAUAACCACAAUGAUAUAAACUCAUAAUUUCGGUUGGGGUGACCUCGGAGAAAAGAAAAUCCUCCGAAUGAUUUUAACAUAGAUCCACAAAUCAAAGUAAGCAAUCUAUCUUAUUGACCCAAAAAUCUUUUUUGAUCAACGGACCAAGUUACCCUAGGGAUAACAGCGCAAUCCUAUUUAAGAGUUCAUAUCGACAAUUAGGGUUUACGACCUCGAUGUUGGAUCAGGACAUCCCAAUGGUGCAGAAGCUAUUAAUGGUUCGUUUGUUCAACGAUUAAAGUCCUAC
rnacentral:rRNA from 1 species